rnacentral:rRNA from 1 species
ACUCCUACGGGAGGCAGCAGUGGGGAAUAUUGGACAAUGGGGGCAACCCUGAUCCAGCCAUGCCGCGUGAGUGAUGACGGCCUUAGGGUUGUAAAGCUCUUUUCUCCGGGACGAUAAUGACGGUACCGGAGGAAUAAGCCCCGGCUAACUUCGUGCCAGCAGCCGCGGUAAUACGAAGGGGGCUAGCGUUGCUCGGAAUCACUGGGCGUAAAGGGCGCGUAGGCGGCUGAUUUAGUCGAGGGUGAAAGCCCGUGGCUCAACCACGGAAUGGCCUUCGAUACUGAUUGGCUUGAGACCGGAAGAGGACAGCGGAACUGCGAGUGUAGAGGUGAAAUUCGUAGAUAUUCGCAAGAACACCAGUGGCGAAGGCGGCUGUCUGGUCCGGUUCUGACGCUGAGGCGCGAAAGCGUGGGAGGCAAACAGGAUUAGAUACCCUGGUAGCGACUGA